rnacentral:rRNA from 1 species
AUUGAACGCUGGCGGCAGGCCUAACACAUGCAAGUCGAACGAGUGGCGGACGGGUGCGUAAUGUCUGGGAAACUGCCCGAUGGAGGGGGAUAACUACUGGAAACGGUAGCUAAUACCGCAUACCAUCGGAUGUGCCCAGAUGGGAUUUGCUAGUAGGUGGGGUAACGGCUCACCUAAGCGACGAUCCCUAGCUGGUCUGAGAGGAUGACCAGCCACGCUGUAACUGAGACACGUUCCAGACUCCUACGGUAGGCAGCAGUGGUGAAUAUUGCCCAAUGGGCGCAAGCCUGAUGCAGCCCUGCCGCGUGUAUGAAGAAGGCCUUCGGGUUGUAAAGUACUUUCAUCGAGGAGGCGUUACUCGCAGAAGAAGCACCGGCUAACUCCGUGCCAGCAGCCGCGGUAAUUC